GAUGAACGCUGGCGGCGUGCCUAAUACAUGCAAGUCGAGCGAACGGACGAGAAGCUUGCUUCUCUGAUGUUAGCGGCGGACGGGUGAGUAACACGUGGAUAACCUACCUAUAAGACUGGGAUAACUUCGGGAAACCGGAGCUAAUACCGGAUAAUAUUUUGAACCGCAUGGUUCAAAAGUGAAAGACGGUCUUGCUGUCACUUAUAGAUGGAUCCGCGCUGCAUUAGCUAGUUGGUAAGGUAACGGCUUACCAAGGCAACGAUGGAUAGCCGACCUGAGAGGGUGAUCGGCCACACUGGAACUGAGCCACGGUCCAGACUCCUACGGGAGGCAGCAGUAGGGAAUCUUCCGCAAUGGGCGAAAGCCUGACGGAGCAACGCCGCGUGAGUGAUGAAGUUCUUCGGAUCGUAAAACUCUGUUAUUAGGGAAGAACAUAUGUGUAAGUAACUGUGCACAUCUUGACGGUACCUAAUCAGAAAGCCACGGCUAACUACGUG
rnacentral:rRNA from 1 species